ensembl:lncRNA
AUUUGCCAAGAUUUGAGCAAGAGGUACAUGGAUCAGCAGAAAGAGACCAUGUAUGUAUGUUCAGCACUCGAUCCAAGAUUCAAAGCUUUGCCCUUCCUUCCUGAUGAUGAACGAGAGGAAAUAUACUUGAGAAUCACUGCAGAAGCUCGAAGAAUUCAAGAACUAUUUCAGGAAGAGGCUGAAGUGAUACCAGGAGAGGAGGACAAUCAUGUGGAAGACAAGGAUGACAUUCCUGCCAGCCCACCACCAAAGAAGAAAAAGGACUUGUGCUGUUUGGCUGAUCUGCUUGGUUCAACUUACAGUGCAGGUCCUAAGGUGAGACACAGAACCACACAGGCCCAGGCAGAAGAGGAGAUGUCAAGGUACAAGGAGGCACCACCCAGUCUCUUGCUGAGGGAAGUCCACUCAGUUGGUGGAAAAAGCACCAGAAUGAAUAUCCACUAAUGUCACGCCUUGCCAAAGUGUACCUGUGCAUUCCAGGGACUAGUGUCUCCUCGGAGCGCGUUUUCUCUACGGCUGGCGAUAUUGUAACCGCACAGAGAAGUGUACUAAGCUCAAAGCAUGUUGACCAACUUCUGUUUUUGAACAAAAAUCUUAAGUCAUAGGAUAAAGCUAGCAUUACUAAAAGUAUCCUCAGGUUAUUGUUUUGUUGCUGCAGUGAUUUUUGUUCAACCUGCCUUUUUGAGGACAAACCUGGUUUAGCUUUAAGAUUUUAAAAAUCCAUCCUGUUAUGAGGUAGAUUAGAUUUGUUGAAGAAAAAUGCAGAGUUCUGUUUGUUGAGUAAAUGUGUUCAGCAUUAACUAAUUGGCUCUGGCCCAUCUAUUUUUAUUGAAUCGUAUCACAUUGUAUCAAAUCGUAUCGAGACAGCUCUGUAUUGAGGUACGUAUCGAAUCGUGACCUGUGUAUCGAGGUAUGUAUCGUAUCGCCAGGUUCUCCAAGGUAUACAGCCCUUCUGUCAUCCCCAGAAAACGGCGUAACUCCUGCUUGUUACUUGGCCGUGGGAAAUCCAUAAUAGCCUCUAUCUUAGCUUGCACAGGCCUCACUUGGCCCUGGCCAACUAAUUUGCCGAGGUAGGUCACUCUUGCCUUAGCAAAUUCACACUUAGCUAAGUUUAAGGUAAGAUGGGCUUCCAGCAAUCGUUUAAACACCAACUCAAGAGUUUGUACAUGUUCCUCCCACGUUGCAGAGUAGAUAACUAUGUUGUCUAGAUAGAGUUCAGUUAGGCACACCUGACAGUACCUUCAGCAUCAACCGCUGGAAUGUUGCUGGUGCAUUUCGCAUGCCAAAAGCCAUAGAUGUGUACUGUAGGAAACAAUCGGGGGUCAAAAACGCUGAGAUUUGAGGCACGGGGUGUCAGAGGAUCUUGCCAAUAUCCUUUUAAUAAAUCUAGCUUGGUAACAAAGCUAGCUGAUCCC